AGAGUUUGAUCCUGGCUCAGAACGAACGUUGGCGGCGUGGAUUAGGCAUGCAAGUCGAGGGAAUCCCAGCAAUGGGGGAACCGGCGUAAGGGGCAGUAAUGCGUGGGUAUCUACCCUGGGGUUCGGGAUAGCCCAUCGAGAGAUGGGGUAAUAUCGGAUGAUGUCGAGAGACCAAAGAUUUAUCGCCCUGGGAGGGGCCCACGUGAUAUUAGCUAGUUGGUGGGGUAAUGGCCCACCAAGGCGAAGAUGUCUAGCGGGUGUGAGAGCACGACCCGCGCCACUGGCACUGAGACACUGGCCAGACACCUACGGGUGGCUGCAGUCGAGGAUCUUCGGCAAUGGGGGCAACCCUGACCGAGCGACGCCGCGUGUGCGAUGAAGGCCUUCGGGUUGUAAAGCACUGUCGAGGGGGAGAAAAGCGCAAGCUUGAUCUAUCCCUGGAGGAAGCACGGGCUAAGUUC
rnacentral:rRNA from 1 species